rnacentral:rRNA from 1 species
UGCCAGCCGCCGCGGUAAUACGGAGGGUGCUAGCGUUAAUCGGAUUUAUUGGGCGUAUAGGGCGUCUAGGCGGAUAUCUAAGUCAGAUGUGAAAUUCCAGGGCUCAACCCGGGAACUGCAUUUGAAACUGGACAUCUAGAGGGUAGGCGGAGAAAACGGAAUUCCACGUGUAGCGGUGAAAUGCGUAGAUAUGUGGAAGAACACCCGUGGCGAAAGCGGUUUUCUAGCUUACUCCUGACGCUGAAGCGCGAAAGCAAGGGGAGCGAACAGGAUUAGAUA